rnacentral:rRNA from 1 species
UACGUAGGGGCCGAGCGUUGUCCGGAGUACUGGGCGUAAAGCGCGCGCAGGCGGCUCGUCAAGCCUGACGUGAAAGCCCCCGGCUCAACCGGGGAGGGUCGUCGGGGACUGGCGGGCUUGAGGUCGGCAGGGGUUGGUGGAAUUCCCGGUGUAGUGGUGAAAUGCGUAGAGAUCGGGAGGAACACCCGUGGCGAAGGCGGCCAACUGGGCCGGACCUGACGCUGAGGCGCGAAGGCGUGGGGAGCGAACGGG